UCCGAAUUGGUGUAGUGGCUAACAUUUGGUGCUCUCAUUAAGAUAUAGAACAACUGUCUGAGUGACCCGCCAAGCCCGGGGUUCGAUUCCCCGAUUCGGAG